UACAGAGGUGGCAAGCGUUGUUCGGAAUUACUGGGCGUAAAGGGCGCGUAGGCGGCCUUCUAAGUCAGACGUGAAAUCCCCCGGCUUAACCUGGGAACUGCGUCUGAUACUGGAGGGCUUGAGUGCGGGAGAGGGAUGUGGAAUUCCUGGUGUAGCGGUGAAAUGCGUAGAGAUCAGGAAGAACACCGGUGGCGAAAGCGCUCUGCUGGACCUUAACUGACACUGAGGGACGAAAGCUAGGGGAGCGAAUGGG
rnacentral:rRNA from 1 species